AGAGUUUGAUCCUGGCUCAGGACGAACGCUGGCGGCGCGCCUAACACAUGCAAGUCGAACGAGCGAGAGAGAGCUUGCUUUCUCGAGCGAGUGGCGAACGGGUGAGUAACGCGUGAGGAACCUGCCUCAAAGAGGGGGACAACAGUUGGAAACGACUGCUAAUACCGCAUAAGCCCACAGCUCGGCAUCGAGCAGAGGGAAAAGGAGUGAUCCGCUUUGAGAUGGCCUCGCGUCCGAUUAGCUAGUUGGUGAGGUAACGGCCCACCAAGGCGACGAUCGGUAGCCGGACUGAGAGGUUGAACGGCCACAUUGGGACUGAGACACGGCCCAGACUCCUACGGGAGGCAGCAGUGGGGAAUAUUGCACAAUGGGGGAAACCCUGAUGCAGCGACGCCGCGUGGAGGAAGAAGGUCUUCGGAUUGUAAACUCCUGUUGUUGAGGAAGAUAAUGACGGUACUCAACAAGGAAGUGACGGCUAACUACGUGCCAGCAGCCGCGGUAAAACGUAGGUCACAAGCGUUGUCCGGAAUUACUGGGUGUAAAGGGAGCGCAGGCGGGAAAGCAAGUUGGAAGUGAAAUCCAUGGGCUCAACCCAUGAACUGCUUUCAAAACUGUUUUUCUUGAGUAGUGCAGAGGUAGGCGGAAUUCCGGUGUAGCGGUGGAAUGCGUAGAUAUCGGGAGGAACACCAGUGGCGAAGGCGGCCUACUGGGCACCAACUGACGCUGAGGCUCGAAAGUGUGGGUAGCAAACAGGAUUAGAUACCCUGGUAGUCCACACUGUAAACGAUGAUUACUAGGUGUUGGAGGAUUGACCCCUUCAGUGCCGCAGUUAACACAAUAAGUAAUCCACCUGGGGAGUACGACCGCAAGGUUGAAACUCAAAGGAAUUGACGGGGGCCCGCACAAGCAGUGGAGUAUGUGGUUUAAUUCGACGCAACGCGAAGAACCUUACCAAGUCUUGACAUCCUGCGACGGUGCUGGAAACAGUACUUUCCUUCGGGACGCAGAGACAGGUGGUGCAUGGUUGUCGUCAGCUCGUGUCGUGAGAUGUUGGGUUAAGUCCCGCAACGAGCGCAACCCUUAUGGUCAGUUACUACGCAAGAGGACUCUGGCCAGACUGCCGUUGACAAAACGGAGGAAGGUGGGGAUGACGUCAAAUCAUCAUGCCCUUUAUGACUGGGCUACACACGUACUACAAUGGCGUUAAACAAAGAGAAGCGAGACCGCGAGGUGGAGCAAAACUCAGAAACAACGUCCCAGUUCGGACUGCAGGCUGCAACUCGCCUGCACGAAGUCGGAAUUGCUAGUAAUCGCAGAUCAGCAUGCUGCGGUGAAUACGUUCNCCGGGCAUUGUACACACCGCCCGUC
rnacentral:rRNA from 1 species